rnacentral:rRNA from 1 species
CCUACGGGGGGCAGCAGUGAGGAAUAUUGGUCAAUGGACGAGAGUCUGAACCAGCCAAGUCGCGUGAAGGAUGACUGCCCUAUGGGUUGUAAACUUCUUUUAUCUGGGAAUAAAACAGGGUAUGCAUACUCCCUUGUAUGUACCUUAUGAAUAAGCAUCGGCUAACUCCGUGCCAGCAGCCGCGGUAAUACGGAGGAUCCGAGCGUUAUCCGGAUUUAUUGGGUUUAAAGGGAGCGUAGGUGGAUUGUUAAGUCAGUUGUGAAAGUUGGCGGCUCAACCGUAGACGUGCAGUUGAAACUGGCAGUCUUGAGUACAGGAGGGGUAGGCGGAAUUCGUGGUGUAGCGGUGAAAUGCAUAGAUAUCACGAAGAACUCCGAUUGCGAAGGCAGCUCACUGGACUGCAACUGACACUGAUGCUCGAAAGCGUGGGUAUCGAACAGGAUUAGAUACCCGAGUAGUC